rnacentral:rRNA from 1 species
GACAGAGGGUGCAAACGUUGUUCGGGUUUACUGGGCGUAAAGCGCGUGUAGGCGGCUUUGCAAGUCGGAUGUGAAAUCCCACGGCUCAACCGUGGAAGUGCAUCCGAAACGGCAUGGCUGGAGUCCCGGAGAGGAAGGUGGAAUGCUUGGUGUAGAGGUGAAAUUCGUAGAUAUCAAGCAGAACACCUGCGGCGAAGGCGGCCUUCUGGACGGUGACUGACGCUGAGACGCGAAAGCGUGGGGAGCAAACAGG